AUUGAACGCUGGCGGCAUGCUUUACACAUGCAAGUCGAGCGGUAACAGGCCUUCGGGUGCUGACGAGUGGCGAACGGGUGAGUAAUGCAUCGGAACGUACCCAGAGGUGGGGGAUAACGCAGCGAAAGCUGUGCUAAUACCGCAUGUGAUCUGAGGAUGAAAGCGGGGGACCGAGCAGCAAUGUUUGGCCUCGCGCCUUUGGAGCGGCCGAUGUCGGAUUAGCUAGUUGGUGGGGUAAAGGCCUACCAAGGCGACGAUCCGUAGCUGGUCUGAGAGGACGACCAGCCACACUGGGACUGAGACACGGCCCAGGCUCCUACGGGAGGCAGCAGUGGGGAAUUUUGGACAAUGGGCGCAAGCCUGAUCCAGCAAUGCCGCGUGCGGGAAGAAGGCCUUCGGGUUGUAAAGCGCUUUUGGCAGGAACGAAACGGUGUCCGCUAAUACCGGGCGCUAAUGACGGUACCUGCAGAAUAAGCACCGGCUAACUACGUG
rnacentral:rRNA from 1 species